UGAGGAAUAUUGGUCAAUGGGCGCAAGCCUGAACCAGCCAUCCCGCGUGAAGGAAGACUGCCCUAUGGGUUGUAAACUUCUUUUAUGUACCAAGAAUGGCUACUACGUGUAGUAGUUUGACGGUAGUACAUGAAUAAGCAUCGGCUAACUCCGUGCCAGCAGCCGCGGUAAUACGGAGGAUGCGAGCGUUAUCCGGAUUCAUUGGGUUUAAAGGGUGCGUAGGCGGUUUCUUAAGUCAGUGGUGAAAUCCUGCGGCUCAACCGUAGAACUGCCAUUGAAACUGAGGAACUUGAAUAUAGUUGAGGUAGGCGGAAUGAGUAGUGUAGCGGUGAAAUGCUUAGAUAUUACUC
rnacentral:rRNA from 1 species